rnacentral:rRNA from 1 species
UACAGAGGUCCCAAGCGUUGUUCGGAUUUACUGGGCGUAAAGGGUGCGUAGGUGGUCGGGUAAGUCUCAUGUGAAAUCUCCAAGCUUAACUUGGAAAUGGCAUGGGAUACUAUUCGGCUAGAGGAUUGGAGGGGGGACUGGAAUUCCCGGUGUAGCAGUGAAAUGCGUAGAUAUCGGGAGGAACACCAGUGGCGAAGGCGAGUCCCUGGACAAUUCCUGACGCUGAGGCACGAAAGCUAGGGUAGCAAACGGG